UAAUUGUCAGCUAAGUGGCGCACGGGUGAGUAAUGUAUAGAUAACCUGCCCUUAAGAAAGGAAUAACAGUUGGAAACGACUGCUAAUGCCCUAUAUGCCUUUAAUACAUAAGUAUGCAAGGGAAACGCUUUAGUGCUUAAGGAUGGGUCUGUAUGGUAUCAGCUUGUUGGUGAGGUAAUGGCUCACCAAGGCUAUGACGCCUAACUGGUUUGAGAGGAUGAUCAGUCACACUGGAACUGAGACACGGUCCAGACUCCUACGGGAGGCAGCAAUGGGGAAUAUUGCACAAUGGACGAAAGUCUGAUGCACCAACGCCGCGUGGAGGAUGACACAUUUCGGUGCGUAAACUCCUUUUAUAUAGGAAGAUAAUGACGGUACUAUAUGAAUAAGCACCGGCUAACUCCGUGCCAGCAGCCGCGGUAAUACGGAGGGUGCAAGCGUUACUCGGAAUCACUGGGCGUAAAGAGCGUGUAGGCGGGUAUAUAAGUCAGAAGUGAAAUCCAAUAGCUCAACUAUUGAACUGCUUUUGAAACUGUAUACCUAGAAUGUGGGAGAGGUAGAUGGAAUUUCUGGUGUAGGGGUAAAAUCCGUGGAGAUCAGAAGGAAUACCGAUUGCGAAGGCGAUCUACUGGAACAUUAUUGACGCUGAGACGCGAAAGCGUGGGGAGCAAACAGGAUUAGAUACCCUGGUAGUCCACGCCCUAAACGAUGUACACUAGUUGUUGUGAGGCUCGACCUUGCAGUAAUGCAGUUAACACAUUAAGUGUACCGCCUGGGGAGUACGGUCGCAAGAUUAAAACU
rnacentral:rRNA from 1 species